UGCAAGGACAUAACACUCUAGUAAGUGAAGUUCUGUUCACUGGGCGGCGACAGCUAGGAGAUGAGUUGUUCCCCUUUCUUCCCCCAAACACACUGUCCAAGACUUGGUUAAAUGGCUUCUCAGAGGACAGUGUCAUAGGACAGAGCACUUAGUAGCUACCAGUUCAGUUCCCCAUCCUCAGUUUGGCUCUCCCCUCCCUCAUUCCUCCUCCCUCUUUUUAGAGUUCCUGGGGAGCCCUUGGCUGCAGGCUGUGUAGGAGGCCAAGACAUCCAUAUUCAGCUUUGGGCUAUGUCUAGGCGUGUUUUUGUCUUAUAGAACUAUACACUUCACUAGAUUCUCAGAUUCAUUCAAUAUAAUCCCUUUAUUUAUGGCUGCAGAAAGUAAAAUUCAUUAAAUCUGAUGCCCAGAGGGUGCCAGACUUGUCCUUAAAAACCUGCUGGAUCUGCAAGAGACAAACGCCCUGCUAGGGCCAAGUCCAAUGUCCUACUUCUCCUUCCACUACUAGUGAAACUCCCAUGAGCCAGAGAGUCACAGAGGGUCUUUAAAGCUGUUUUCAAGUGUUUCUAAAUUCAGAUACUUUGAAAUGCCCACUGUUAGUAAACAUUUGCAUGCUAAGAUAAAUCUGAUACUACGUUCGAUGGUUGUAUUAGUUUCCUAGGGUUGAUAUAAAAACAUACCACAAACUAGGCAGCUUAAACAACAGACAUUUAUUCUGUCACUUUGGAGGUUAGAAGGCUAAAAUCAAGGUGUCAGUAGCACCACACUUCCUUUGAGACACUGUUUAGGAUCCUUCUUUGCCUCUUCCUAGUUUCUAGUGAUGUCCCUUGGCUUAUAGAUUUAUCAGUUCGAUCUCCGUCUUGUCAUCACAUGGUGCAUUAAUGCUGUCUCUUAUUUUCUCUAUCUGAUGCUUUGACUUCAGAGGGCCUUGCUGACCCUGGAAGGACUUCCCCUCCAAGGGUUAGCCAAUCGGAGAAGCAGUAAAGACUAGAGGUCGAGCUCCCUUUCCAAAUGCAAACGAAUCAAUCCAGAGCCCACACCCCUGUCAGCUGCUGGAUGGGCUUUCACAUACCAAUCCACCAUCUAUCUGCCCUAACAACCCCAGAGCCAGCAACCAGGCAGCUAGGGACAACCCCUGUGCUGCAGAGCUCAUUACAAGUAUUCAAACUAGCUAAUCCUAAACUGGCUUACCAUGCUCCACCCAUUUCUUCCAUUGGGAACUAUAACAAAGGCUCGUGCCCACAGUUUUCCCUUGCUCCUUCUAUCUCCUAACCAACCCAGGUGCUCUCCUCCCAUGUUUGACAUCCUAUGUCUACUACUUCUAUGGUACUGUGAAUAUAAAGAUCUUUCUUUGUGGAUGGUUGGCGUGUCUUGCCAUAGCUGAUUGAGACAAAUUCUGGGUAGCCCUUUGUGCCUGUGUCUGUACCUCUUCUCUGCUUCUUAUAGAGGACAGUAGUCUUACUGGACAGGGGUCCACUCUAAUUCGGUAUGACCUCACCUUAACCUGAUUACAUCUACAAAGCCCCCAUUUCCAAAGUCAGGUCACACUGACAGGUACCAAGGGCUAGAACUUGAAAUUAUCUUUGUGAGGAACAUAAUUCAGCCCAUAACAACAGUCUAUAGUCAAUACUGAUAAUAUAUACACCAUUAUGAUUUCUGGUCCUGGUAUGGUCCACAGCAGCUGUUAGCAAACUCAAUCUGUAAAGAGCCAGAUCACGGCUAUUUCAGGCUUUGCUGCUACAUAUGGUCUCUUUUUUACCUUCCUUUUUCUUCCUCCCUGUUUUUAUUUAUUUCAACCCUUAAAAAGUGUAAAAAAAAAAAAUCUUUUCUCAUGAAUUAAACAGGCCAUAGUCUGGAUUUGGCUUGCAGGCUAUACUUUGUCGACCAGAGAUCUAUAGCAAGGAUCACAUCAGAUAAAAGGGGAAGUUAAACAAUGCCUGGCAGAUAUUUAGUGCUCAUCAUGUUUGUUGAUUUUGCAGUUGUAGAGUAACAGUCCUCAUGGAACCAAAAGUUGCCAGGUAAUUAUCUGCAUGGCUAAUUGGCAAGCUCUUCCUAUUGAAGAUGUUUCCAGUGUCAGCACCCAUAACCUAAGAAAGCGAAGUUUCAGGGAAAGAAAUGCAGGGAUGAUAGCAUUUGAUAACACCAUAGUAUAUUCCUCGUAUGUUAUACUUAGGGCGUUUGGAGGGGGCAGUGGCAAUGCUGGUGAUGAGAGGGGAGCCGAGGAUGUACUGUGUGGGGUUGUUUUAGCCAUAGGACCACUUAGAAUGGAAAACACUGUGGGAAGAUCAUUCCACCAGUGCUAUUGGAAUUACUGCCUUUUUGAUCGGUUUGUACUCCUGGGUUAACAAGAAGGAUUAGAGGGGGAAAACAGACUUGAAUCAGAGCCUGCCUGUUCUACCACUUUUGGAAAAGGUGGUACAUUUUUAAGUAGGUGUGUCAUUGAUGAGGUGAGAAGGACCAAACAAAACACAGUAGCUCUAUGUGGGAAGGAGUGCCAGGAGAGGUUCAAUAAAAUACAUGUCACUGCAUCUAUAGUGCUGUGCAGCAGGCCUGAUAAUUUCUCCCUGGGUCACAUAAGCAGGUGUGGCCGCUCCUUGCUGACAGCCCUCAAAAGUGGUCCCUUCGUAGAAUCAACCCACCACCUCUUUUUGUCCUGAGCUUACAUCACACUCUCUUCACUGGGAAAAGAGAUAACGCCUGUUUCCAGACCUAUUCAUGAAAUUCUGGGCUUGGCACAGCAGCCUCCCAGGAGAACCUGGUAAUUAAGAUAGUUGUUUACUUGCUAUGACAAUGCUUAUGUCUGCCUUGAAUGCCAAGCCCUGUCGUUAUUUUAUGAACUUUCAAACCAAGCUUUUAAGUUUUACCCAGAGCAUCCUGACAGAAUAGCAUAAGCCUUUUACUUUCCAGCUUCUGAAGUCAGAUUUCUAGGUAUUUUUUCUUUCCAGGGAGAUGGAAGGACCACUGCAUGCUCCUAACAUAUUUUAUUUUAUUUAUUUAUUUUUUUUUUGUCUUUUGUUGUUGUUGUUGUUGCUAUUUCUUGGGCCGCUCCCGCGGCAUAUGGAGGUUCCCAGGCUAGGGGUUGAAUCGGAGCUGUAGCCACCGGCCUACUCCAGAGCCACAGCAACGCGGGAUCCGAGCUGCAUCUGCAACCUACACCACAGCUCACAGCAACGCCGGAUCUUUAACCCACUGAGCAAGGGGCAGAGACCGAACCCGCAACCUCAUGGUUCCUAGUCGGAUUCGUUAACCACUGCGCCACGACGGGAACUCCCUAACAUAUUUUAAAUGCCUUAGAUGAGUUGGAAUGACAGUAGGUUUUGGAAUCAGGUGAUCUGUCUUUUACUCACAGCUCUUGCAGUGAGAUCUGGGGCAGGAUUCUUAAGCUCUCUGAGGCUAACUUCUGUUUUCUAUUGACUAGGAAUGAUUAUUCUUAUAUCACAGUAGUGUUCUUAUAUCAUAAUAAUUACUUCAUAGUAGUAUUAUAAUAGUACUAAUAUUAUAUCAUAGAGUAUCAUUCUUAUAUCAUGGUAGUAUCAUAGUAGAUUAUUCUUAUAUCUAGUCAAUAGUAAUUAAAUGAAACUAUAUUUAACUAUAGUUAAAUAUAGUAAUUAAAUGAAACUAUAUUAACAUAGCCCUUGGAAAAUAUUUCAUCACAUUCCUCAUCUUCAGUUUUCACCUGUGUAGUUAAUCAUACACAUUUGGGUAGGUUUGGCAGACGUUGCAAAUAAAAAUACAGAAUGCUCAGUUAAAUUCGGAUUUCAGAAAAACAACAAAUUAUUUUCAGUAUAUGCAUGUCCCAAUGUGCAUAUACUUACACUAAAAAUUACUAUUGCUUAUCUGAAAUUCAGACUUAACUGAGUAUCUUGUAUUUUACCCGCGCAACUCUACAUUUGAGGGAUCGCAUAAUCCUCUCUCCAGGAUACCUUCCCAUCGAUGAACUGGGUGAAAACUAUCAAAGCUGUGAACUUUCAAACCAAGCUUUUAAGUUUUACCCGGAGCAUCCUGACAGAAUAGCAUAAGCCUUUUACUUUCCAGCUUCUGAUAUUGAAAACCAGGAAAAAAAAAAAAAAGCUCUAUAUGAACAGAGCCCUGAAAAGUGGGGGUUUGAAAAAUCUGUUACAGAGUUUAAAAAUGAGGAGAAAAAAAAAUUUAAGAAUCCUCCAAAUCUGAAGAAAGUUCCUCUCUGAUCUAUUAAAACUUAUCAAAGGCAGCUUUUUUUUUCCUUUUUUCUCUUUUUUUGUCUUUUUAUGGCCGUACCCGCAACAUAUAGAGUCUCCCAGGCUAGGGGGUCAAAUUGGAGCUACAGCUGCUGGCCUAUUCCACAGCCACAGCAAUGCAGGAUCCGAGCCACGUCUUCGACCUACAUCACAGCUCACGGCGAUGCCAGAUCCUUAACCCAUGGAGCGAGGCCAGGGAUUGAACCCGCAACCUCAUGGUUCCUAGACAGGUUCAUUUCUGAUGUGCCACAAUGGGAACUCCUCAAAGGCAGCUUAAAUUGCUUUUCCUGAGUCUAGGAAAGAAAAGGCAAGUGCUUCUUACCUCUGCCAAUGCCCUCCUGGUCCUGAGAAGCUGAGACCUACAACAAGAAAUUGGAGCAACGGCAGAAGGCCCCGUAUUUGUCUAGAGAGGGGCUUCUCUCAUCAGAAUUCCUAGAGAAGUAACUUCUAAAGCAGAUAGUAUCCUCUUUCACUAAGUCUCAUAGCCUCCUGCUUCUCUCUGAGCCAAAAUGCAAAUGCUUUCCUCUAAGUUUACUGAGAGAAUAUGAGUAUAAUAAUUGUCUCUCAUAGAAUUAAGAGGAUUAAAAAUAUUAUGUGUUAUAUAGAAAACCUUUAGCACAAUUCCUAGCACAUAUAUAUCACAACAGGAGGAGAUCAGUGAAGGGCAACUGAGAAGAGGAAGGGGCUGGAGAUAGGAUCCAGGGAACACUGGAGCAUCCCCAGCUACCUGGUAUGAAGCAGUUCCCAGAAAAGCACACAAGAGCUGAUUGUUAGUCAGGCAGCAGUUUUUACAAUAGCCAAGACAUGGAAGCAACCUAACUGCCCAAGGACAGAUGAAUGAAUGAAGAAGAUGCUAUAUAAUAUGUAUAGUGGAAUACUAUUCAGCCUUGAGAAAGAAGAAAAUAAUGCCAUUUGCAUGGAUGGACCUAGAGAUUAUCAUACUAAAUGAAGUCAGACAGAGAAAGAUAAAUAUAUGAGAUUAUUAAGUGUGGAAUCUAAUAAAAAAUGAUACAAAUGGACUUAUUUACAAGACAGAAAUAGAUCCAUGGACAUGGAAAACAAACUUAUAGUUACUAAAGGGGAUGAUAAGAGGAGGGGUUAAUUAGGAGUUUGAGAUUAACAUAUGCACACUGCUAAAUAUAAAAUAAGGGAGUUCCCGUCAUGGCUCAGUGGUUAACGAAUCCAACUAGGAACCACGAAGUUGCGGGUUUGAUCCCUGGCCUUGCUCAGUGGGUUAAGGAUUCGGCAUUGCCGUGAGCUGUGGUGUCGGUCUCAGAUGCCACUCGGCUCCCAAGUUGCUAUGGCUCUGGCAUAGCCUGGCAGCUACAACUCUGAUUAGACCCCUAGCCAUGGAACCUCCAUAUC
rnacentral:lncRNA from 1 species